rnacentral:lncRNA from 1 species
CGAGCGAGCUGGCUGUGCUCUGACGAGUCUGGAGCUGGAAGAAUAAGCACAAGCCACCCUUCCUCAAUUCAAAAACAGGAAAGCGACUUCUGGAGGUUUCUUUGUCUCCCUUGUGGAGCAGGAUACACAUUUUUAGUGCUGAGUGUUCCAAGCUGAAGAGCUUUACCUUCUUGGAGCUAUCCAUUUCCAGCACCUCUUUAAAUACUAAUGAGAGUCUCUCCCUGGGGGUAUCUGGCAGAUUCAGCUUCACUCUGAAUAAUUUCCAUCCUCUUUGUGCGGAGAGGCAGGGCUGGCCCUCUCACUGUGACAAAAGGCUGCUCCUGGUGCACCUCCCUUCCAGGAAUGGAGGUAGAAAGAAAACCGAAUAGCAUUGACUCAUUUAAUCUCCAUGACCACCUUUUCAGGCAAUCCGCAGGGGUUUACCUACUGCAUUAUGGCUCUCAGCGGAGAGAAAGAAGAGCACUGGCUUUGAGUCCUGGCCCUGUCACUUUCCAACAGUGUGAUCCGGGAUAAGGGUAAGACUUCUCUUGAGUUUGUUUUCUCAUCUGCAAAGUGGGCAUAAAUCAGGGGAAGGUCCAGGUCUUGUGGGGGUUAAAACUUAUACAAUUUGGGGGCCCUGUUUAAGAAAAAGAAUACAAAAUGAUGAAUACAAAAUUAUUUACAAAACUUACAUUUAGAUUGAGAAAAGAAAUUACCAUAAACUACAAAUUAAAAAAAAUACUACAAACAUCAUAUAGUUAAGAAAUAUAAUAUACUAAUAUUAUUUAGAUACCUGGUAUACCUCUUUUUCUUACCUUUUUUGGCUAGUUACUGUCUGAUUACCCUUUUAUGGGCCAAUGAUUUUGUACUAUCUUUGUCUACAGAGAGAAUAGAAAGAUACUGUAUUCUUUCCUCUUGCAUGCUG